AGAGAACAACAGGGAUUGCCCUAGUAACGGCGAGUGAAGCGGCAACAGCUCAAAUUUGAAAUCUGGCGCAAGCCCGAGUUGUAAUUUGUAGAGGAUGCUUCUGGGUAGCGACCGAUCUAAGUUCCUUGGAACAGGACGUCAUAGAGGGUGAGAAUCCCGUAUGUGACCGGCCCGCACCCUUUACGUAGCUCCUUCGACGAGUCGAGUUGUUUGGGAAUGCAGCUCUAAAUGGGAGGUAAAUUUCUUCUAAAGCUAAAUACCGGCCAGAGACCGAUAGCGCACAAGUAGAGUGAUCGAAAGAUGAAAAGUACUUUGGAAAGAGAGUUAAAAAGCACGUGAAAUUGUUGAAAGGGAAGCGCCUACAACCAGACUUCGCGGCAGUGUUCCGCCGGUCUUCUGACCGGUUCAUUCUCUGUCGCGAGGCCAUCAUCGUCUGGGCCCGCCGGAUAAGACCUUAGGAAUGUAGCUCACCUUCGGGGGAGUGUUAUAGCCUAGGGUGAUGCGGCGAGGCUCGGGCGAGGUCCGCGCUUCGGCAAGGAUGAUGGCGUAAUGGUUGUCGGCGGCCCGUCUUGAAACACGGACCAAGGAGUCUAACAUCUAUGCGAGUGUUCGGGUGUCAAACCCCUACGCGUAAUGAAAGUGAACGGAGGUGGGAACCGCAAGGUGCACCAUCGACCGAUCCUGAUGUCCUCGGAUGGAUUUGAGUAAGAGCAUAGCUGUUGGGACCCGAAAGAUGGUGAACUAUGCCUGAAUAGGGUGAAGCCAGAGGAAACUCUGGUGGAGGCUCGCAGCGGUUCUGACGUGCAAAUCGAUCGUCAAAUUUGGGUAUAGGGGCGAAAGACUAAUCGAACCAUCUAGUAGCUGGUUCCUGCCGAUUUCCCCCCUGGGGA
rnacentral:rRNA from 1 species